CGCCGCCACUGCCGCGCGCCGCUCCCAGGCUCCCUCCCAGCGCGCCGGCCGGGGUGUGGGGGGCGGCGGGCCGGAGGGACGAGGGCGGGCGAGAGGCGCGCGCUGGGAUUGGCGCCGAAGACCGGACCCUCAGCCGCUAGGGGACAUUGCACGCUGCAGAACCCAAGUGUGAACCCUGCUCGAGCUUUAAUGAGCAUCUACUAUAAGCUAAGAAGCAAGUGCUGUGGGAGACAAAAAGGAGAGUGAAGUACCCAUUGUAUUCUCAUGGAGAUUGGAGUCUAGAAAGAGGUUGUAUGGGUCUGGAGAAGAUCAAAGGGGAGCCUGCAUGUGAGAUCUCUUUGGAAACCCUGAAGCACUCUGUGAAUGAAAAGGGAUGAUGAGUCUUGGAGCUUCGCCUAAAAGAAUUUAUGGCUUCAAUGUGAAAAGGACCAUUGGAGAUACUGGAAAACACAUUGUAUUUGCCAAGCCCCAGAGUGACAGAUUUUGGUUUUUCCUACUUCCUGAUAAUAUGCACAUCAUCAGCUAAGAGGCAGAGCAGAGCAGGCACUGACCCCAGGCACUGGAGAAACCUGCUUGGUCUGCAGAGACCCCAGCGGGAUGAGAAUGUUGAGCUGUCAAAUAUAUCAAAUACCAGUCCUUACUGAUCUUGGAGAGCCCUCUUAGUCCUGACCAGCUGUGGGGAAACAUCAAGUGGAACCUUCCAGACCAAGAUAAAUGGGCAGCUCUUUCUAAGACUGGCCUAGGUAGCUGCCCUGGCUGAAAAUGCAGCUCCGUAUUUAGGGCUGGUGGAGACAGGUCUGCCAAAGGGGAGGGCAGUGUGGAGGAAAAACGGAAGAGCCUCAAGGGGAAACAGUUACCUUAAGAAAGAGUCUAGAAGCCCAAGAUACAAGCGUGGGGUGGGGAAGCAGCGGGGAGAAGAAGGAUGAGGGCUUCUCAGAGAAGGACUGCUCAGAUGCCCAGUCAUCCGGGUUUGCCCAAGACACAGGGUGUUCAGGACAAUCCCUGUCAAACCAGGGCAGCUGGUCACCCUACAACUGUGUUCCCUCACCUGUGUUGAAGACCAUGUGACAGCAGAAAAGUCACCGCUCUAGACCUUGUUUCUCAAAAUAUUGUCCACAGACUGGCAGCAUCAGUAUCACCUGGGAGCUUGUUAGAAAUGUACCUUCUCAGGCCCACACUAAGGCUGCAGGAUCAUACCUGCCGGAGAGGAAGAACCCCAGGUGAUCUGCAGGCGCAUGAGUUGAGAAAGACUGCUUUAGAAGAUCCUGUGCGCCCUGGAGAAGAAAAGGUAGCACUGGUAGGGAGCAGAGAGAAUUUCUUGGCUGUGAUCUGGCAAAUGUCCAGGUCGGCCAGAUUCUAUACUGAAACUGUAUCAACCGGACCUGGCAAGGAGCAGAAGCAUUGAGAAGGUUACACAGUAAGGAGUACCAGGAAUUGAGAGCAGAGAGGUAAAAGGACAGAUGACACAAACUAGCCAAGAGGGGCCUCCUGAACUAUUAAUAGUAGUAGUUGUAGGAAUGUAGGAAAGCCAGAAAUCCAGCUAUUAUGUGGCGAGAGUAAAGCUGGAGAAAUACUCUUCUGUACCUGUUGCUGUGACCCAGUUUCGGUAAAAAAAAAAAACAAAAACAAAAACAAAAACAAAAAACAAAAACAAGCUGAUGUGGGCUGGGAAAUGUGAAAUGCGGAGUCACAGCAUUGUGGGUAGGCUUGCAGAGGAAGAAAAAAGGAUCACCCACUAAAAGUCUCAGCAUUAGCAUCUUGGCCUUCACUCACUUGCAUAUUGCUCAGAUAUGCAAAGCAAGUUCAGUUUUCUCCCUUUUUCUCUACCUGGUCUGAUCUUCAUGGGCUCCAGCUCUGCAUUCUAGCAGGAAUAAUUUGCACUUAAUUAAUAGUGUUUCAUUUUCUUCCCGCUUGAACAUAAUUCUUUGACUUUAAACAUUCUAACCAGGGGUUCUUAAACUCAAACACGCUGCAGAAUCACCUAGAGGGCAUGUUAAAACACAGAUUGCUGGGCCCACCCCCAGGGUUUCUGAUUCAGUACAUCUGGUAGAAACUUAGAAUUUGCAUUUCUAAGGAGUUCCCAGUCGAUGCUGAUAUAACUGGUCGGAGGAACACGCUUUACAACCUCUGAUUCAAAGUAUUCGGCAUUUUAUUCCCUCCCAAAGGUGAUGGUUUCAAAGGUCUUAGAUUUAAAAUGCUUCUCAGAUUGGUUGAUCUUCUGUUCUAUCUUGGAUCCAGAACCCGGUCUUCCUGUGUAUGGCCGGUAUGCAGUGGCACAAGCAUGCUUGCAUUGCUGGCUCAACACAUCUGAAAUGGUCUGUAUCUUGUUCCACAAGACAAGUCCUUUGAUCACAUGCUAGGAUGUCCUGGCAAGGUCAAUCUGUGAUACAAAUCUCUAAGAAGCAGCUCUCACUUGUAUUUAUCUUGCUUCAGACCAGUAGUAGUUUGUCGACUGGCACUGGCCCAUGGACCACAUUUUGAGUAAUGCUGUUUAGAUGACUCAGUCUUUCUCAGAUUCUUCACCUCCUUCUUCCUCCUCUUUCCCAAGAUAGCAUUUGGGUAUGCAAGGGGGGGGGGGUGUUAUUUUAUCCUUGUGACAGCCUCGUAUCAUGCACCAUCCUGUAGAUACUCAGUGAUCCUCCCUAUUGAGGGGCUGGAUUCAUUCUUUCCCUGGAAUGGGGACCACCGAAAUGCAAGUAGGUCCCAUCUGAUCUUUUGGAAUGAUGCGUGCCGGUCCUCACGACUGCUGCCAUAGCCCUGAACACAUCCCUUAGUGCCCAAGGUCUAUCUUCACGGCCUCUGUCCCUGCUCCUAGACCGCCACUAGUCUACCAGUAGUCUCCAUGGGAGAGUAAGAAGCUCCAGACACUCCUGUUUCCCACAUAAAGGCCAUCAGGAGGCAGGAAUGCCUUCCGAGUCCCAUGUAUCCAUCCAUCUGCUGCCGCCUCUGUACCAUUGCUUCUGAGCCCCUUGGGAUUUGGUGUUGAGCCAAAUAGCCAGAGACCGCUAGAGGCAGUGUAGUGCUGGGAGGAGCUUGUAGCCCAGCCAGUUGUUAAUUUUUCAGCAAUUUGGCCUUCCAGCUGUCCAGCGUGGCCAUUAUUAAAAGUUAAAGGACAACAACAUACAUUUAAACAAGUUAUAUUAAAAGCAAAGGUAGCCAAUACACAAAAUCAUCACCUCCUAUUUAUUUUACCGCGCUGGACUAUUAAUCUAUGUUUAGCAUAUGUGUGUGAUAGAAAUACUGUAUAAUCGUGUACUGCCACACAGGUCUUCUAAGCCCUGUUCGGUGAUACCGUGUUGAGAGCUUCCAAUCAGCCAAGGUAGGAGUAUUUACGCUGUAGAAAUGAGCAAACAUUAUAAAUCAGGGUUCCACUCUCUCUCAUCUCCACCUCCCCAAGGCCAGUUGUUAAACAUUUACCAACACACCAUUGCUUAGAGCCUAAAUCUGGGAGUGAGCCACUAAUCCACUGGCCUCUAGUCACCCUUUACUUACAUAGAUGUUACAAAGCUGCUCUUCCUCUAAAGAUUAGCUCCUGAAAGGUAUCUGUGAAAGAGAUAUUGAAUACUAGAACCUUGAUGUCAUCUUAUCUACUUACCCUACUUUUAUCUCGCUUUUCUCUCUACCAUCUCUUGGGACCAGAAGAAUUGAUCUUCUGGUUUUUUAUUUCCUCCACAGCUUAUCCUCGUACAUUAAGGGUGAACAUUCAUGGCCUAACUUUACUCUCUGACAUUCUUUCCCAAAACGUAUAAAUUUAUUCUAAUCAUGAGAAAACAUGAGACCAAAUUGAGGGGCAUUCUACAAAACUUCUUCCUAGUUCCCUUCAAAACUGUAAGAUCCUGAAAGACAAGAAAAGACCAAGAAACAAUCGUAGCUUGGAGAAGGAGACUUGUGAACUAGAUUCAAUGUGGUAUCAUAGAUUGACCCCUGGAAAAGAAAGAAAAUUGGUAGAAAAACUGAGGAGACCCAAAUAAGGUCCGAGUAUUGUACCAAUGUUGAUUUCUUAAUUUCAAUCAUUGUUUCAUUGUUAUGUAAAAUGUUAACAUCAUAUGAAGCUGGAUGAAGGGUAUAUGAGAACUCUAUAUUAUAUGUGCAGCUCUUCUGUAAAUAUACAGUUAUUUCUAAAUGAAACUAAUGAUGGGAAAAAUUCAUGACCUAGGUAAUAGAUAUCUUUUCUAUCCUAUGGAAAAAAAACCUACUAUGUGCAUCCACCUGCUUUGUGAUAUGCAAAAGGGGGGAAAAUGGGGAUGGUAUAAAGUCUUUUUCUAGAUAAAGAUAAAAAGCUUUACUUUCAAGUGUUUUUUCUUUUGCAGAAUAAAAAAAAUUAUUUUGGAUGUUGUAAGCUGAGCAUUAACUGUUUCUUUCCCUUUCUUUGUAAUCUUGCUGUGAUAAAACUAAGUUUGUAAGCGGUAUCUUCAGAUGAUGGAGAAGACAUAGAAAGUAGAUUAAUAUAAAUUCAAAAUAUCACCUUUAUUUUCCGUUGAUCUGAAAAUGGGCCACUGUUCACACAGCUACAUUUCUUUCUAAGUGGAAGGACAGCCAGGAAGAAAAAUCCCUGAGCAGAGAAGAGGAAAUGUGCUCUAAGGCAAUGCUUCUCCAAUUUUAAUUUGCAUUUGCUUCAUCUGGGGACCUUGUUAAAAUGCAGAUUCCUUUUCAAUAGGUUUGGGGUGGGGAUCCCAAAUUAGUCUGAUUUUCCAGUAAGUUCCCAGAUAAUGCCAGCCUGCUGGCCUCUGAGUAGCAAGAGUCAAGGGUCCUUUCUGAGGAAUUUCCUCUUCCUUGGCACAGUAGGCAUAAGGCAAGUGCUUACCAGCCAGAGGCUUAAAGACACAUAAGAAAUGCACAGUAAGACCAGAAAUAAAGCAGUUAAAACAAAGAAGACGCACAUUAAUCAAAGUAUGACAUUAUUGCACAUACUGAGAUGGGGUGAAAGAAGGACUAUUCAGGAGGUCACUGGACAUGUAAAGCUGUUUUUGAAGUUUAAUUUGAAGCCCCAACUAAGAAGCAUUGUAUGUAGUCAUUCCCUUUCACUACACAGGAAAAAUGCAACAUUUUCUAUGAAAGAGGAACUACAGCUUUCAGAAUUACUGAAUUGUACAGUGCCAAUGUACAUGAAUCUCUUCCCUCCUCCAACGUUUCCAAUGAUGAUAGUUCCUGGAAAAUAGUAUAUCGUUUUUUCAAGCAUAUGCUAAGUCUACAAAAAAAAAAUUCUCCCGAAAGUUCUCUUCAAGCUAGGAAAACGGGUAAUUGGCCUGUAUCAACGGGACAACUCAUGCCAGUCAAAACACCAUUACAAGAGAAUAAAGUGUGAGGCCUGUGCAUCGGCAUGUUUUUACCCCCACCUCAUGAGGAGCUUCCAACGUGUCACAUGCACUUUCACUGUCUUUUUCAGCAUUUAAACUGAGAUGUUUUUCUGGAAGCCUUGCUCAGUGGACCUAUGGGCCCUCUGGUAUUCUUAGACACGAUUUAUAAAUGUUGUGAUGAACUUGACCAAAGUAGAUCUGGCUUUGCUAAUCACUUAUUAGUUCUUUGACCCACUAUUUCUUUGUUUAAGAAGCAAUGUUGCUUGUCUUAUGGAUACAUAUUAUCCAAUUUACAGAAAAUAUAAAUAAUAUUGCAGAUAGCAAAUGAGAUCCAGCGUGCAGCUUCCUGCAUCCCGGUGGGCACAGUCCUAUUUAGUAAUAGCUUUCCCUUUCACUGUUGCCACUGGCAGACAGACUGCUUAUGCGAUCUUUGGCUUCCCUAAUGUCUCUUCAGGGAUCAAUAGAGUGUUUCUUUUUUCCUAGAUGCCAACUUCAUCGUCUUUAUACUUUAAGAAUACAGUAUCAGUUUAAGAAUACUUCAGGAAUACAGUAUUAGUCUAAAGACCGUUCAAUUGAAAGCAACCUUGCAGAGAUGUAGUCACCCAUGAUUGAUGUUAGGCGAGCGAAAGAAAAAUGUAGGUUUGUUUUCCCCUCUGCCUUUCAGAUCUUUGAAAGAGAAAGGGGACUGGUUUUUCAAAACUAUUGCCAUUGUUGGAAAGUAACCAUCUCCUACCUUGUGCUAUCUGAUCGUAUCCGUAGAUACAGGAACGUGUAUGUAGCAGCCACUUCUCUCAAUACUUUUGUUCAUUUUUCUCUUGAAGUAAAUAUUAAUAAUUGGAAAUUAGAGAAUUGCUAUUUUAAUGUUUCAAGUGAAGUAAAUCUGAUAUGUGAAUUAGCAACAAAGACUUAUGUCUCAAACAGGAAAUAACAAUUCAUGAAACCAAAUUUAAAGUUCAAGCAGAGCUUUCACGCUGAUGGAUUCCUAUUUUCCUUUUUCUUGGCCCUGUGGGUCUGUUUUUAAUUUUAAUUUUUUUUAUUUGUUACUUUUAUCAUUUUGAAACAUAUCCUUGUCUCAAACUCUGUGCAAUGGUGAGCGUAUAAAGAAGUACAAAUAAAUAACUACUGACCACAUUUCUACUGUGAAAUUUUUUAUUUUAAAUGUGACAACUAUCCCUCAAUUGUCUGUGCACAUUCAACUGUUGGCUGAGCCAGAUUCUUCGGUAUAAGAAAAAUUGGUGAAUCUGAAAUAAAAGUGCAAAAUAUCUUUCAUGCAAAUAAUACUAAUAAUACCCAAGAAAGCAAGAAAGCGUACUUAAAAAAAUAAUUGUUCUUGACAGGAGAUUUAUAAAUAGGAGCCUAAUUAAUAAAUUUCACUAUUGUUCUCCUUAGCUGCAGCCAUGCCCCCUUGGACUUCUUUAUUUCAGAUGACCUUGUACUUUCUUUGCAACUCACACUAAAUAAUGUGUGUUGUUUUGCAUUUUUUAUAUCAGAAAGCAAAAUAUUAAAAAAUUAAUCAAUGUUGCAGAGAAAAGGGCACUCCCAUAAUAGA